AGCUCCAAUAGCGUAUAUUAAAGUUGUUGCGGUUAAAAAGCUCGUAGUUGGAUUUCUGUUGAGGUUGGGUGGUCCCUUCUCCGAAGGCGUAUUUGCUUCGAUCUCGGCAUCCUUCUGAAAGACUGUGCUGCCCUUCAUUGAGUGGUCAGGAUUUCAGGACUUUUACUUUGAGGAAAUUAGAGUGUUUACGGCAGGCAGGCGCCUUGAAUAUAUUAGCAUGGAAUAAUGAUAUAAGACCUUGGUUUUAUUUUGUUGGUUUCUAAAGCUAAGGUAAUGAUUAACAGGGAUAUUUGGGGGUAUUUGUAUUACACGGUCAGAGGUGGAAUUCUUGGAUUCGUGUACGACAAACUACUGCGAAAGCAUUUACCAAGGAUGUUUUCA
rnacentral:rRNA from 1 species